AUACGUGUGUGUACGGGUAGCAUAAAAAAAAAAGCUACCGCGGGGCUAGCAGAUAGACUGACGGUUGGGAGGGGGGGUGAACUGCUACUUGAAACCAAACGAUUACUCACGGUCUGCCCUACACGCGGGUAAUUCGAGUGAGACGUUGUUUUUUACGCCCUCGUUGCCGCAGUCAAAGCGUUAUAAAUUUCGUCGGAAUCGCUCGACGACAACAGCGACG